GAUGAACGCUGGCGGCGUGCCUAAUACAUGCAAGUCGAGCGAACGGACGAGAAGCUUGCUUCUCUGAUGUUAGCGGCGGACGUGUGAGUAACACGUGGAUAACCUACCUAUAAGACUGGGAUCACUUCGGGAAACCGGAGCUAAUACCGUAUAAUAUUUUGAACCGUGUGGUUCAAAAGUGAAAGACGGUCUUGCUGUCACUUAUAGAUGGAUCCGCGCUGCAUUAGCUAGUUGUUAAGGUAACGGGUUACCAAGGCAACGAUGCAUAGCCGAACUGAGAGGGUGGUCGGCAACACGGGAGGUGAGACACGGACAAGACGCCUAAGAGAGGCCGCAGUAGGGAAUGUGCCGCAAUGGGCGAAAGCCUGACGGAGUGACGCCGCGUGAGUGAUGAAGGUGUUCGGAUCGUAAAACUCUGUUAUUAGGUAAGAACAUAUGUGUAAGUAACUGUGUACAGCUUGACGGUACCUAAUCAGAAAGCCACGGCUAACUACGUG
rnacentral:rRNA from 1 species